GAUGAAGAACGUAGCGAAAUGCGAUAAGUAAUGUGAAUUGCAGAAUUCAGUGAAUCAUCGAAUCUUUGAACGCACAUUGCGCCCCUUGGUAUUCCGAGGGGCAUGCCUGUUCGAGCGUCAUUAUAACCCCUCAAGCUCAGCUUGGUGUUGGGGCCUGCUGCACUGGGAGCCCUUAAAAUCAGUGGCGGCGCCGUCUGGCUCUAAGCGUAGUAAUUCUUCUCGCUAUGGAGUCCUGGUGGAUGCUUGCCAUCAACCCCCAAUUUUUCUAUGGUUGACCUCGGAUCAGGUAGGGAUACCCGCUGAACUUAAGCAUAUCAAUAAGCGGAGGA
rnacentral:misc_RNA from 1 species